UGGGGAAUUUUCCGCAAUGGGCGAAAGCCUGACGGAGCAAGACCGCGUGAGGGAGGAAGGCCCUUGGGUUGUAAACCUCUUUUCUCAGGGAAGAAGAAAGUGACGGUACCUGAGGAAUCAGCCUCGGCUAACUCCGUGCCAGCAGCCGCGGUAAUACGGAGGAUGCAAGCGUUAUCCGGAAUAAUUGGGCGUAAAGCGUUCGUAGGUGGUUUUGUAAGUCUGCUGUUAAAGCGUGUAGCUCAACUACAUAUAGGCAGUGGAAACUACAAAACUUGAGUGCGUUCGGGGCAGAGGGAAUUCCUAGUGUAGCGGUGAAAUGCGUAGAGAUUAGGAAGAACACCGGUGGCGAAAGCGCUCUGCUAGGCCGCAACUGACACUGAGGGACGAAAGCUAGGGGAGCGAAUGGGAUUAGAUACCCCCGUAGUCC
rnacentral:rRNA from 1 species